rnacentral:rRNA from 1 species
GACGAACGCUGGCGGCGCGCCUAACACAUGCAAGUCGAACGAGCAAAGAGGAGCUUGCUUCUCUGAGCGAGUGGCGAACGGGUGAGUAACGCGUGAGGAACCUGCCUCAAAGAGGGGGACAACAGUUGGAAACGACUGCUAAUACCGCAUAAGCCCACGGGUCGGCAUCGACCAGAGGGAAAAGGAGCAAUCCGCUUUGAGAUGGCCUCGCGUCCGAUUAGCUAGUUGGUGAGGUAAUGGCCCACCAAGGCGACGAUCGGUAGCCGGACUGAGAGGUUGAACGGCCACAUUGGGACUGAGACACGGCCCAGACUCCUACGGGAGGCAGCAGUGGGGAAUAUUGCACAAUGGGGGAAACCCUGAUGCAGCGACGCCGCGUGGAGGAAGAAGGUCUUCGGAUUGUAAACUCCUGUUGUUGAGGAAGAUAAUGACGGUACCCAACAAGGAAGUGACGGCUAACUACGUGCCAGCAGCCGCGGUAAAACGUAGGUCACAAGCGUUGUCCGGAAUUACUGGGUGUAAAGGGAGCGCAGGCGGGAAGACAAGUUGGAAGUGAAAUCCAUGGGCUCAACCCAUGAACUGCUUUCAAAACUGUUUUUCUUGAGUAGUGCAGAGGUAGGCGGAAUUCCCGGUGUAGCGGUGGAAUGCGUAGAUAUCGGGAGGAACACCAGUGGCGAAGGCGGCCUACUGGGCACCAACUGACGCUGAGGCUCGAAAGUGUGGGUAGCAAACAGGAUUAGAUACCCUGGUAGUCCACACCGUAAACGAUGAUUACUAGGUGUUGGAGGAUUGACCCCUUCAGUGCCGCAGUUAACACAAUAAGUAAUCCACCUGGGGAGUACGACCGCAAGGUUGAAACUCAAAGGAAUUGACGGGGGCCCGCACAAGCAGUGGAGUAUGUGGUUUAAUUCGACGCAACGCGAAGAACCUUACCAAGUCUUGACAUCCUGCGACGGACAUAGAAAUAUGUCUUUCCUUCGGGACGCAGAGACAGGUGGUGCAUGGUUGUCGUCAGCUCGUGUCGUGAGAUGUUGGGUUAAGUCCCGCAACGAGCGCAACCCUUAUGGUCAGUUACUACGCAAGAGGACUCUGGCCAGACUGCCGUUGACAAAACGGAGGAAGGUGGGGAUGACGUCAAAUCAUCAUGCCCUUUAUGACUUGGGCUACACACGUACUACAAUGGCGUUAAACAAAGAGAAGCAAGACCGCGAGGUGGAGCAAAACUCAGAAACAACGUCCCAGUUCGGACUGCAGGCUGCAACUCGCCUGCACGAAGUCGGAAUUGCUAGUAAUCGUGGAUCAGCAUGCCACGGUGAAUACGUUCCCGGGCCU